GUGAAUUAAACAUGCUUGGUGUCUUCGCUUCGGCAAGGCCCUUGCCUUAAAUCACAUCCUAACCCCUGUGAACUGUAAGACGUAUGAUGAGGUCUUUGGCCAAGUCAUCGUCUGCCCAUUUUAACAAACAAUUAAUGUAACAAACGUAGUCUUAUUAUAACCUAAUA
rnacentral:misc_RNA from 1 species